rnacentral:tRNA from 1 species
UUAGAAGAAACCAAACAGAGGUAUGUUAAUGUUAAUAACACCAUUGAAUAAAUAUCCUUCUAAA